UACGAAGGGUGCAAGCGUUACUCGGAAUUACUGGGCGUAAAGCGUGCGUAGGUGGUUUGUUAAGUCUGAUGUGAAAGCCCUGGGCUCAACCUGGGAAUUGCAUUGGAUACUGGCAGGCUAGAGUGCGGUAGAGGAUGGUGGAAUUCCCGGUGUAGCGGUGAAAUGCGCAGAUAUCGGGAGGAACACCCGUGGCGAAAGCGGCUCUCUGGGACGGUACUGACGCUGAGACGCGAAAGCGUGGGGAGCAAACAGG
rnacentral:rRNA from 1 species